rnacentral:rRNA from 1 species
UACGGAGGGUGCAAGCGUUGUCCGGAUUUAUUGGGUUUAAAGGGUGCGUAGGCGGCUCUUUAAGUCAGCGGUGAAAGUCCAGAGCUUAACUCUGGGAUUGCCAUUGAUACUGAAGAGCUUGAGUAUAGUUGAGGUAGGCGGAAUUGACAGUGUAGCGGUGAAAUGCAUAGAUAUUGUCAAGAACACCGAUUGCGUAGGCAGCUUACUAAGCUAUAACUGACGCUGAGGCACGAAAGCGUGGGUAGCAAACAGG